GUGCUGCCAAAGCAAACACGUAGAGUCAAGAAAUAAAUCCCAUUUAAUUGUGCCUCCAAAGACCAGCAGGCCUGAAUAUUCACUCAUUCACUCAUUCAUUCAUUCACUUGUUCAAUUCUUAGUCACCCUACACAUCACCACAAGCUGAGGACAACCACAUUUGUGCCCUUCUGGAGCUUAAGCAUAACAGAGAAAACAGAAGAAAAAAGAAAAAAACUGCACGUAGCACUGCCCGGUAGCAAUAAGUGCUGUGAAGAAGAAAAAUCGGUGUAGGGCAUAGCGACGGUGGGGAGCUAGCCUCAGAGGCGUUCAAGGAGGAUGUCUUUAAAGGUGAUAUCUGCAAACAGAGGUCAAAAGGACAUGAUACACAUAUCUGAGAGAGUUAUGUCCUAGGAAGAGGAAAACAGCAAGGAAGAGGUCCAAGUCAGGCAAGAAGUCCCUGCAUCUGGGGAGCGUCCAGGCCGUACAGUGGGGGGAUGAGCGGGACACGGAGGAGGAUUCAGGACAGAGGGCCGGAAUAUGCAAAAGCAAGAAUUUGUUCUCAGUGUGAAAAAACGUUGCUGAGUGUUUUAAGCUAAGGAGGAUAUUAUUUUGCCUAUAUUUAACAGAAUGAUUAUGCUGGUUUCCAGAAUAGAAAAUAGAAGUAGCUAGAAAGUUACUGUGGGGGAAAAAAAUAGGAAAAUGAUCGUGGGACUCUGUUAAGAGACGGAGGAGGGCUUAGAGCAAGUGACAGCAGUUGUUGUGUUAGGAAACCCAUGAGGGCAGACCAGCGGGGUCACCGGCCUCGGCCACAGUGGCAGGCCGGGGAAAAUGCCAAAUCGGCUCCCGGUGGUGGUGGAGGAGCAAGACAGCGGAAGGAGACCAAGGACAGCAUUUUGACAAGUUCGUUUUGAGACGCCAGUCGCUCUUUCCCUUGUGGCAAGCAGGUGACAGUGUGGACGAGGGCAGGCCAAGGCAGGCCACAGUGCGUGGCCACUGUGUAGAGCCCCCUGAUUGGAUGAGUAAGUAUGGACAGCUAGCCCAAAGGGAAGGCAGGAAAAACACUCGAAAACUGAGAGAUUGGGAGAGGAGGAGCCCGCAGAAGAGGCUGAGCGGCAGCCUCCUGCGUGGGGAACUUCCUGUCGUACCCGGCUGCGGAGAAGUCGCGUGGAACGAACAAGGAGACCUGAAAAUGCCGGAACAUCAUAUUCUCUGCUCACGUUGACAAAAUUUCGUGUCAGUGAGCAAUGAAGACGAAGCCCCAUCAUAACUGGCCGCGGAGAGGACGCUGGAGAGGAAGUUGAGGCACGGAGCGCACCGUUUUAAGGAGCACAGAGUUUGUCAGCAAUCUGUAAGCUCUAGUCUCCGUGCCUCCACGCGUGAAGGUUGUUAUGCACGUUCACUGCCUUGGCCUCUUCCCGCCGCCUCAGCCCAGCGUGGAGAAGCAGGGACGGAUGUCUCACUCUGCCUCUAACCCCACAGCACGACACAGCUUUUGUCCUGAAGGGCAAUAAACAUAGCUGUGCACUUGCUAAGACAUGACAUCAGAAGUAAAAACCUGUGUGGCCAGCACUGUACCACGGACAACUUCAUCGCAGAAAGAACCUUUGCCUCACUCGCCACACCCGCGUGGCCUGCACCCGCGGCCUGCACUCGGCAGCUGCACACCCUGUGCCGCCUCACUCGCACUCACUGAGCCGGCGUUCACCUCUCCUUUCCUGUGCCACACCUUUCUUCUCACCUCACUUCUCUUCCUAUGUUGGCGGGAGCUUCCUACUAUGGUGCCCAAUGUAUACUUGGCAGGGAAAUAAAAAUCAAUAAAAUAAAAUAUCAAAUGAGUGCUUAGAAGAGACACAACCAAUUUCAUGUC